CGAUUAAGUAGUAAAGGGCGCACGGAGGAUGCCUUGGCACUAGGAGCCGAAGAAGGACGUGACAAACGACGAAAUGCUACGGGGAGCUGUAAGUAAGCAAAGAGCCGUAGAUAUCCGAAUAGGGGAACCCACCGCUUUUAAAAGGGCGGUACGCGAAAGCGAGGUAACGCAGGGAACUGAAACAUCUAAGUACCUGUAGGAAGAGAAAGAAAAAUCGAUUUCCUGAGUAGCGGCGAGCGAAAAGGAAAGAGCCCAAACCAAUGUGCUUGCAUAUUGGGGUUGUAGGACUCUCAACAAAGCGUAUGAUAAAGUAUAGUAGAACUAGCUGGAAAGUUAGACCGUAGAAGGUAAAAGUCCUGUAUACGAAAUGCUAAGUUGGCGCGAGAGAGCACCUGAGUACGGCGGAACACGAGGAAUUCCGUCGGAAUCUACCAGGACCAUCUGGUAAGGCUAAAUACUACCUAGUGACCGAUAGUGAACCAGUACCGUGAGGGAAAGGUGAAAAGAACCCCGGGAGGGGAGUGAAAGAGAACCUGAAACCGUGUGCUUACAAGUAGUCAGAGCCCCUUGAGGGUGAUGGCGUGCCUUUUGUAGAAUGAACCGGCGAGUUACUUUAUCAUGCGAGGUUAAGUGGAAGACAUGGAGCCGAAGCGAAAGCGAGUCUUAAUAGGGCGAAAUAGUAUGAUGGAGUAGACCCGAAACCAAGUGAUCUACCCAUGGCCAGGUUGAAGUUUAGGUAACACUGAAUGGAGGACCGAACCAGGACACGUUGAAAAGUGUUUGGAUGAGCUGUGGGUAGCGGAGAAAUUCCAAUCGAACUUGGAAAUAGCUGGUUCUCUCCGAAAUAGCUUUAGGGCUAGCCUCGUUGUGAGUUUACUGGAGGUAGAGCACUGUUUGGACUAGGGGCCCAUCCCGGGUUACCGAAUUCAGACAAACUCCGAAUGCCAGAUAAAUAUCAACGGGAGUCAGACUGCGGGUGAUAAGGUUCGUAGUCGAAAGGGAAACAGCCCAGACCGCCAGCUAAGGUCCCAAAUUGUAUGUUAAGUGGAAAAGGAUGUGAUGAUGCACAGACAACCAGGAUGUUGGCUUAGAAGCAGCCACCAUUUAAAGAGUGCGUAAUAGCUCACUGGUCGAGUGACAUCGCGCCGAAAAUGUACCGGGGCUAAACAUACAACCGAAGCUGCGGAUAUAACUAAUGUUAUAUGGUAGGAGAGCGUUCUAACAUCAUAGAAGCCGAGCUGUAAGGCGAGGUGGAGAGGUUAGAAGUGAGAAUGCCGGUGUGAGUAGCGAAAGAUAGGUGAGAAUCCUAUCCACCGAAUGACUAAGGUUUCCAGAGGAAGGCUCGUCCGCUCUGGGUAAGUCGGGACCUAAGGUGAAGCCGAAUGGUGAAGCCGAUGGACAACAGGUAGAAAUUCCUGUACCACCAAAUAUCGUUUGAGAGAAGUGGGGACAGAGGAGGCUAAUUGAUCGUCCUGAUGGAAUAGGACGUCUAAGCACAAAGGUUGAGUAGUAGGCAAAUCCGCUGCUCNNNNNNNNNNNNNNNNNNNNNNNNNNNNNNNNNNNNNNNNNAUAGUAGCGAAGUCAAUGAAGCCAAACUCUCAAGAAAAGCCGCUAUCGAGAUAAGAGGUGCCCGUACCGCAAACCGACACAGGUAGUUGGGAAGAGAAUUCUAAGGUGAGCGAGAGAACCAUCGUUAAGGAACUCGGCAAAAUGACCCCGUAACUUCGGGAGAAGGGGUGCCUACGAGAGUAGGCCGCAGUGAAUAGGCCCAAGCGACUGUUUAACAAAAACACAGGUCUCUGCAAAACCGCAAGGUGAAGUAUAGGGGCUGACGCCUGCCCGGUGCUGGAAGGUUAAGAGGAGUGCUUAGGAGAAAUCCGAAGGUAUGAAUUGAAGCCCCAGUAAACGGCGGCCGUAACUAUAACGGUCCUAAGGUAGCGAAAUUCCUUGUCGGGUAAGUUCCGACCCGCACGAAAGGCGUAACGAUUUGGGCACUGUCUCAACGAUGGACUCGGUGAAAUCAUAGUACCUGUGAAGAUGCAGGUUACCCGCGACAGGACGGAAAGACCCCAUGGAGCUUUACUGUAGCUUGAUAUUGAAUUUUGAUGCAGUAUGUACAGGAUAGGUAGGAGCCUAGGAAUCAUGCACGCCAGUGUAUGAGGAGGCGUUGUUGGGAUACUACCCUUGCUGUAUUGAAAUUCUAACCCUCGGCGUAGAAGACCGGGAGACAGUGUCAGGUGGGCAGUUUGACUGGGGCGGUCGCCUCCCAAAGAGUAACGGAGGCGUUCAAAGGUUCCCUCAGAAUGGUUGGAAAUCAUUUGCAGAGUGUAAAGGCACAAGGGAGCUUGACUGUGAGACUUACAAGUCGAGCAGGUGCGAAAGCAGGACUUAGUGAUCCGGUGGUUCCGCAUGGAAGGGCCAUCGCUCAACGGAUAAAAGCUACCCUGGGGAUAACAGGCUUAUCUCCCCCAAGAGUCCACAUCGACGGGGAGGUUUGGCACCUCGAUGUCGGCUCAUCGCAUCCUGGGGCUGUAGUCGGUCCCAAGGGUUGGGCUGUUCGCCCAUUAAAGCGGUACGCGAGCUGGGUUCAGAACGUCGUGAGACAGUUCGGUCCCUAUCCGUCGUGGGCGUAGGAAAUUUGAGAGGAGCUGUCCUUAGUACGAGAGGACCGGGAUGGACGUAUCAAUGGUGUACCAGUUGUCACGCCAGUGGCAUAGCUGGGUAGCUAAAUACGGAAGGGAUAAGAGCUGAAAGCAUCUAAGCAUGAAGCCCCCCUCGAGAUGAGAUUUCCCACGGAUAUUAAGACCCCUUGAAGACGACAAGGAGAAUAGGUUAGGAGUGUAAGCACGGUAACGUGUUCAGCUGACUAAUACUAAUAGGUCGAGGACUUAAUCAAG
rnacentral:rRNA from 1 species